rnacentral:rRNA from 1 species
AGCAGCCGCGGUAAUUCCAGCUCCAAUAGCGUAUAUUAAAGUUGUUGCAGUUAAAAAGCUCGUAGUUGAAUUUCGGGAUCAGUAGGUUGGUCAUGCCUCUGGUAUGUACUGGCCUCACUGGUUCCUCCUUCCUGAUGAACCGUAAUGCCAUUAAUUUGGUGUUGCGGGGAGACUGGACUGUUACUUUGAAAAAAUUAGAGUGUUUAAAGCAGGCUUACGCUUGAAUACAUUAGCAUGGAAUAAUGAAAUAGGACGUUCGAUCCUAUUUUGUUGGUUUCUAGGAUUGACGUAAUGAUUAAUAGGGAUAGUUGGGGGCAUUAGUAUUCAAUUGUCAGAGGUGAAAUUCUUGGAUUUAUUGAAGACUAACUACUGCGAAAGCAUUUGCCAAGGAUGUUUUCAUUAAUCAAAAACGAAAGUUAGGGGAUCGAAGACGAUCAGAUACCGUCGUAGUCUUAACCAUAAACUAUGCCGACUAGGGAUCGGAUGAUGUUAAUUUUUUAAUGACUCAUUCGGCGCCUUACG